AACCUCCGCAAUGUGAGAAAUCGCGACGGGGGGAUCCCAAGUGCCAUUCUUAACGGGAUGGCUUUUCUUAAGUGUAAAAAGCUUUUGGAAUAAGAGCUGGGCAAGACCGGUGCCAGCCGCCGCGGUAACACCGGCAGCUCUAGUGGUAGCUGUUUUUAUUGGGCCUAAAGCGUUCGUAGCCGGUUUGAUAAGUCACUGGUGAAAUCCUGUAGCUUAACUGUGGGAAUUGCUGGUGAUAUUGUUGAACUUGAGGUCGGGAGAGGUUAGCGGUACUCCCAGGGUAGAGGUGAAAUUCUGUAAUCCUGGGAGGACCACCUGUGGCGAAGGCGGCUAACUGGAACGAACCUGACGGUGAGGGACGAAAGCUAGGGGCGCGAACCGGAUUAGAUACCCGGGUAGUCCUAGCCGUAAACGAUGCGGACUUGGUGUUGGGAUGGCUUUGAGCCGCUCCGGUGCCGAAGGGAAGCUGUAAGUCCGCCGCCUGGGAAGUACGGUCGCAAGACUGAAACUUAAAGGAAUU
rnacentral:rRNA from 1 species